rnacentral:misc_RNA from 1 species
GCAAACUUGGUCAUUUAGAGGAAGUAAAAGUCGUAACAAGGUUUCCGUAGGUGAACCUGCGGAAGGAUCAUUAUUGAAUAAAUUGCUUGAUGGGUUGUAGCUGGCCUCUUGAGGCAUGUGCACGCCUGUCUUGACUCUAUUCAUCCACCUGUGAACCUAUUGUAGUCUUUAUCUUCUUGCAGGCGUUUAUUCAGUCGAGACAUACUGGAUUUGAGAAUUGCAUUAUUGCUUUUCUCUAAUUGGCCUUGUGGGGAGAGGGACUAUGUUUUUAAUCAUAAACCAUAUAGUAUGUUGUCAGAAUGUAUUCAAAUGGGCCUCUGUGCCUAUAAAAUCUUAUACAACUUUCAGCAACGGAUCUCUUGGCUCUCGCAUCGAUGAAGAACGCAGC